rnacentral:lncRNA from 1 species
GUGUGGGGGAAGUGUGAGUUAUUAUGCUUGUUGAAAAGAAAAGAAGAGUUGAAAAAAAAAAAAAAAAAAAAAAAAAAAAAAAGAGUUGAAAAAUAUGCGAAAAAGAGUUUUAAAGUGCUGCUUGUUGAAGAAAGGGUCCAAAACAUAGAAUUCGGCCCUAAUUAUUGCUUGAAUUUUCCCUUCGUGUCUAAAAGUUGAUUUCUGCAAUCUAAGUGAAUUCUAAGUUUCAAUUUCAUUACUUUACUUGCUAUUGCUUUAAGAACGAUUGUU